rnacentral:sRNA from 1 species
AAACACGUCUAGAUGUAGCGAUGUCAAC